rnacentral:rRNA from 1 species
AGGGCACCACCAGGAGUGGAGCCUGCGGCUUAAUUUGACUCAACACGGGAAAACUUACCCGGCCCGGACACUGGAAGGAUUGACAGAUUGAGAGCUCUUUCUUGAUUCAGUGGGUGGUGGUGCAUGGCCGUUCUUAGUUGGUGGAGCGAUUUGUCUGGUUAAUUCCGAUAACGAACGAGACUCUAGCCUACUAAAUAGACUACCGUUCCUUUGUGACGGUAGGACUUCUUAGAGGGACAGGCGGCGACUCAGCCGCACGAAACAGAGCAAUAACAGGUCUGUGAUGCCCUUAGAUGUCCGGGGCCGCACGCGCGCUACACUGAAGUGAUCAGCGUGCAUUAAUAACCCUCUCUGUCAAGAGUGGGUAACCCAUUGAACCUUCUUCGUGAUUGGGAUGGGGUAUUGUAAUUCUUACCCUUGAACGAGGAAUUCCCAGUAAGCGCGAGUCAUAAGCUUGCGUUGAUUACGUCCCUGCCCUUUGUACACACCGCCCGUCGCUACUACCGAUUGAAUGAUUUA